rnacentral:rRNA from 1 species
UACGGAGGGUGCAAGCAUUGAUCGGAAUUACUGGGCGUAAAGGGCGCGUAGGCGGCUUAUUAAGUCGGAUGUGAAAUUCCGGGGCUCAACCCCGGAGCUGCAUUUGAAACUGAUGAGCUAGUGGCUAGUGAGGGAAAACAGAAUUCCACGUGUAGCGGAUGAAAUGCGUAGAUAUGUGGAAGAAUACCGGUGGUGAAGACGGUUUUCUGUGCUAAGCCAGACGCUGAGGCGCGAAAGCUAGGGGAGCAAACAGG